GCCUUCGUGGUGUAGUGGUCAGCACACUCGGCGCGUAACCGAGAGGUCCAUGGUUCGAUUCCCGGCGAAGGCG
rnacentral:tRNA from 1 species